UACGAAGGGGGCUAGCGUUGUUCGGAAUUACUGGGCGUAAAGCGUGCGCAGGCGGCUUCUCAAGUCAGGGGUGAAAGCCCAGAGCUCAACUCUGGAAUUGCCUUUGAGACUGAGUGGCUUGAGUAUGGGAGAGGUGAGUGGAAUUCCCAGUGUAGAGGUGAAAUUCGUAGAUAUUGGGAAGAACACCGGUGGCGAAGGCGGCUCACUGGCCCGUAACUGACGCUCAGGCACGACAGCGUGGGGAUCAAACAGG
rnacentral:rRNA from 1 species